CAUCUGACGUUUUCAAGUUUAACGGUGAAGAAGUAUUCAAAUCAAAUAAAAUUUUGAUAUAAAAUUCUUUAUACUAUCUAUAACAAGAUCAAUAUUUCUGAUCGAAAAUUUUCGUGUUAUAUCAUCACUUUUUAUAGAAUUUUUAUUUUCAGCCGUAAAAAAAUAUUGAUUUUGAAUUCUUUCGAUUGCUUGGUAAAUGAUAUGAAAAAAUAGCAAAAAUUAUUUU
rnacentral:lncRNA from 1 species